rnacentral:lncRNA from 1 species
UGCUGAUUUCACGACUUUGGAAAUAGUGGAAGGUUUCUCGUCUUUUAACACUUCCCUCUAGCUAGGGUUUGAGACUUGAGAGAUAGAUAUGGGAAUAGUGGAAGGUUUCUCGUCUUUUUAGCUCUUCCCUCAAGGGUUUUGAGACUCGAGAGAUAGAUAGGGAAAGAGAGAGGACAAGACACAGAUAUAGAGGUCAAGUUGAGAAAGACGAGUGAGGAAAUUUAUGAGAGAGAAAGCACGAGCGUCGAGACUAUGUGCUCUAUAUUCGGAAGCUAAAAACUAAUUUUUUUUUUUAUAAAUCUUUUGGUUAGGAAAUCACAUGCAGAGACCACGUAUCAUAUAAAAAUUUCGCACGUAUGAUGUUUCCAAUUAAUAUACUAGUUAUAGUAUCAACACAAAAACACAUACUUUAUAUCUACACAUCUUGCAAUUAAAAUGAAAAAGAUUUCGAUCUUCACAACAUAACGUUUUCACUAAAAGGAAUAUCGGUACAUAUUUUAGAUUGAUAAAACAUUAGAAAAUGAGUCCCUUAGUGUUGUCACCAAAAGCUGCAAUUAGAAGAGUCAUUGAGUCACAUAUCUAUACAUCAUAACAAUAUAAUGUAAUGAUAA